UACGGAGGGGGCUAGCGUUGUUCGGAAUUACUGGGCGUAAAGCGCGCGUAGGCGGCUUUGUAAGUUAGAGGUGAAAGCCCAGAGCUCAACUCCGGAACUGCCUUUAAGACUGCAUCGCUAGAAUUGUGGAGAGGUGAGUGGAAUUCCGAGUGUAGAGGUGAAAUUCGUAGAUAUUCGGAAGAACACCAGUGGCGAAGGCGACUCACUGGACACAUAUUGACGCUGAGGUGCGAAAGCGUGGGGAGCAAACAGG
rnacentral:rRNA from 1 species